rnacentral:lncRNA from 1 species
CAAUGCUACGGUAAGAGAUUUUUCUUUCACUAAUAAUGUUCAAUUUAUUCUAAAUGCAGAUACAAAUGAUCUUUGCUAAAUAACAGUAAGUAAUAAUAGUAUUUGUAAUAGUAAUUGAAAUGGUCAUGUUCAAGAUGUGCUAACAGUAUAGGGUCACAGCAAAAAUGUAACCAUGAAUCAAUGUGUUCUUUUUCCUUGAAGGGUCCACUCAUUUUCAUUACCUAAAGAAAGGGGAGGAGGUAACACUGUCCUGUGAAACAUGUCAAUGGCAGGCUGAUGUGAAUUCAGACAACAAAGUGGACUGCAACAUCAUAGGGAGUAUUUAUACAACGACCUCAAUAUGCCCUACUAGAAGACAGGACCUUUGCCAAGAGAUAAAGAGAAACAAACCCACCUCUUGUGAAAUCCGUGUAAUGAGGGGAUUCUUUGCCUGUGUUAAUGCUACAUCUGACUCCUGCUUCAUGUAUCCGUUCAAACCCUCUUCUCAUCAUGUGGAGUCCUUCAUUGUUGCUCAGGCAGAACCAGACAUUGUGUCUGGACCUGUAAUGGAAAACUCAGUGCUUGUGUCUGGAGGAGAAUCAAUUAAUCUGACGUGUGAUUUAAAAACAAAGGGGUAUUAUCCCAAUAAUCCUUUUGUGGUGUACUGGAUCAAGACUGGUGCUCACAGCAGCACAUGUGUGUAUUCCUUUGAUUACGCUACUGAUGAUUUUGGUUUUGAUGCCCACUGUGCCAUUGACAAAGAUCUUCUGUUAAGGAGAUCACACACAUCAAAACCCUCCCUUGAUGAUAACAACAUCCAUAACCUGAAGAUCAGCAAAGCCACUCAGUCAGACCGUGGACAGUAUCUGUGUGUCUUACAGGUGAACACAUAUAGUUAUAACCAGCAUGCUUGGGCAGUAAUAACCAACACCACAGUCAUUGUGGGUAAUCCUGGUAAGUCUAUGAACCUUACUUGAAAUUUUAUUUCCUCUCAGUUUAUUUUGUCACAUUGUGCUUCAACAGUUGAGCUUGAACCUGAACAUUUAGUUGGAUGCACAUUUUAAAAACCUUAACAUUAUUUACACAUGGGAACUGGUUUCCUAAGCCAGACAUUCAUGUGUUAUGUGAUCCAUGCUUAUCCUAACGUGCUUGACUAAAUAAUUAAUGGUAAAUUCUUGACAAUAAACUAAAUUUCACGAUAAUGUUAGUGUGUUGA